CAAGGUGCAGUUUUUAAAAGAUUAAUAUGGGUUACAAUAAAAAUAUGAAUGAAUUUUAGUUAUUUUAUAUUAAUGAAAAAGGAUUUAUUAGUAAAUUUUUUAUAGAAACAAUAUGAAUAUUGUUUCUAAAAUAUGUACACAUUGCCCGUCACUCUUAUUUAAAAUAAGAUAAGUCGUAACAUAGUAGGUGUACCGGAAGGUGUAUCUGGAAUUAAGAAUAAAUAGCUUAAUUUAAAGUUUAUUAGUUACAUAAGUAGGAUAUCUUUAUUAGAUUUUAUUUUUAUCUAUUUUACAAUAAUAGGUUAAUAUUAUUUUUUGUUAAUUUUCUGUGGAGGGGAGUCCAUAUUAAAUUAAUUAAAAGAUUUAUAUUAUACCUUU
rnacentral:rRNA from 1 species